GAUGAACGCUGGCGGCGUGCUUAACACAUGCAAGUCGAACGAUGAAGCCCAGCUUGCUGGGUGGAUUAGUGGCGAACGGGUGAGUAACACGUGAGUAACCUGCCCUUAACUCUGGGAUAAGCCUGGGAAACUGGGUCUAAUACCGGAUAGGAGCGCCUACCGCAUGGUGGGUGUUGGAAAGAUUUAUCGGUUUUGGAUGGACUCGCGGCCUAUCAGCUUGUUGGUGAGGUAAUGGCUCACCAAGGCGACGACGGGUAGCCGGCCUGAGAGGGUGACCGGCCACACUGGGACUGAGACACGGCCCAGACUCCUACGGGAGGCAGCAGUGGGGAAUAUUGCACAAUGGGCGAAAGCCUGAUGCAGCGACGCCGCGUGAGGGAUGACGGCCUUCGGGUUGUAAACCUCUUUCAGUAGGGAAGAAGCGAAAGUGACGGUACCAGCAGAAGAAGCACCGGCUAACUACGUG
rnacentral:rRNA from 1 species